ensembl:lncRNA MIR4435-2HG MIR4435-2 host gene
AACACACAGUAGGCUGUGUCUCGUGGCUUUCGUUGUCUGGUGCCUCAAAGAAAACACCAGAAAGAUUGUUUCUAAGCUAGAGCCACCCCAGAUUGCUUAAAGUGCAAAGCUCACUGCUGUUGGGGGUACCCUUGUGAGACACUGGAAAGCUGGUUUUACCGUGGCCCUAUGAAGAGGAAGACUGAAAUUUAGACAGUAAUACCUUUACUAGGAUUGGAAAAGAUUUGGUUAAUGACAGCCCUGUCAUUUCUAAAACCCAUUAUCACUGUAUGAGAGAUUCCUUUGCGCUGCAUCCUCGACAGUGCUUCCUAAGGCUCUGCCGACUUCCAGUUCUGGAACAAGAUGGUUAAACUCAUUUUUCCCUGCUCUGCUCCUCUAAAUACAACUAAGUACCUUGGAAACUAUUCAGCAGACAAUGAUAAAGGGCUCUGAAAGCUAGAAGAAAAGGUGUACUUGCAAGAAACCUCAGGACUUGAGUAACAGCAACAUGGAAAGGAGAAAGAGACUACCUACUGCAUUUCUGUCACUCGCUGAAAAGGACACUCUGUCAGAAAAUCUUCUAGCAAACUUCAAAGGGCAAAAUCACCCCUUGUUACUGAUAAAGCCCAGAGAGCUUCAGCAGCUAACAUUCCCUGGACAGGGCACAGCAAGGAUUUGAACCUAGGUCAGUCUGGCCAGAACACCCACAAGCUUUCCUUAACUCAGUGUGCUAUCUCCCCACGACUAGGUCACUACUGCUUUAUAAUCACCUUUGUAGCCACCAGUGGAUUUUGCUCAUCAGUAUUUUUCAGGCAAUUGAUACUUUAGAUAUUCAGCUGCAAGACGUAUGCAGUUUUCAUUGACAUCUUUUGGAGAAACUGACAAACCUGGACUUGACUUAAUGCCUUUGGAACCUUCCAAGAUGUUAUAUAACUCUAGAUAGAAGGCUGGGCCUCCAUGAUGUCAGGAAUGUUGCAUUCUUAUUUCCCCAUAGAUAAACCCAUUUGUCCACAAAGUCAAGGAGUCAGGCAGAGGCCCUUGCCAUGGGGCUUUUUAGGAUAAAGCAACAAGCCUGGACUUUGCUCUACAACAGGGUUUUGCAUAGGGAGUGGUAUGACCAGAUCCCUCAAGAAAGAAAGCUUAGAGACCAGGCCAGAGUCCACUGCAGUAGCCCAGUCAAGAGAGGAUGGUGACUUGGACUUGUAGUAGAGCCAGUUAGAAUGAAAGAAAUUGACACAUUCAGAAAUGGUUUUAGAGAUAGAGUCAAACUGGACCUGAUAAAGAACUAGAGAAGCGGAGUGAGGAUAAAGAGAAGAGCCAUGACUGACUCGGAAGAUUUUGUCUUGAAAAACUUGAGAACUCAAGACAGAGUGAAAUAAAAUCACAUGUGGGAAAAAUCUCCUGCUUUGUUUUGGACUACUUUGAAGUGAAAUGCCUGUUAAGCCUAAGUGGGCUCACCAAGCUCCUGUAUCUACUGGAAAAUGGAAGUCCAGCCUUACCAACUUGUGAACCUUGUCUGAAGGGAGCCAGGGCCUGCCAAUGGAACCACCUCCAGGAGCUGCAACUGCUGUUGUCAUUAAUACCAUUGUGUCUAUUUUUUGAGAGAGAUAAACUUUUCAUGGUGUUACAUUUUGGAAAAAAAAAAAAAA